UAGUCCACGCUGUAAACGAUCAUCACUCGCUGUUGGCGAUACACAGUCAGCGGCCAAGCGAAAGCAUUAAGUGAUGCACCUAGGGAAGUACGGUCGCAAGAUUGAAACUCAAAGGAAUUGACGGGGGCCCGCACAAGCGGUGGAGCAUGUGGUUUAAUUCGAUGAUACGCGAGGAACCUUACCAGGGCUUAAAUGCAGAAUGACAGGACCAGAAAUGGUUUUUUCUCGGACAUUUUGCAAGGUGCUGCAUGGUUGUCGUCAGCUCGUGCCGUGAGGUGUCAGGUUAAGUCCUAUAACGAGCGCAACCCCUAUUUCUAGUUGCUAGCAGGUAAUGCUGAGGACUCUAGAGAAACUGCCAGCGCAAGCUGUGAGGGAAGGUGGGGGAUGGACGUCAAAUCAUCACGGGCCCUUACGUCCUGGGGCUACACACGUGCUACAAUGGUAACGACAGAGGGCAGCCACCACGCGAGUGGGAGCAAAGUCCUUAAACGUUA
rnacentral:rRNA from 1 species